UUGGAGGGCAAGUCUGGUGCCAGCAGCCGCGGUAAUUCCAGCUCCAAUAGCGUAUAUUAAAGUUGUUGCAGUUAAAAAGCUCGUAGUUGAAUUUCGGGGUCAGUAGGUUGGUCAUGCCACUGGUAUGUACUGGUCUCACUGAUUCCUCCUUCCUGAUGAGCCGUAAUGCCAUUAAUUUGGUGUUGCGAGGAAUCUGGACUGUUACUUUGAAAAAAUUAGAGUGUUUAAAGCAGGCUAACGCUUGAAUACAUUAGCAUGGAAUAAUGAAAUAGGACGUUCGAUCUUAUUUUGUUGGUUUCUAAGAUUGACGUAAUGAUUAAUAGGGAUAGUUGGGGGCAUUAGUAUUCAAUUGUCAGAGGUGAAAUUCUUGGAUUUAUUGAAGACUAACUACUGCGAAAGCAUUUGCCAAGGAUGUUUUCAUUAAUCAAGAGCGAAAGUUAGGGGAUCGAAGACGAUCAGAUACCGUCGUAGUCUUAACCAUAAACUAUGCCGACUAGGGAUCGGAUGAUGUUAAUUUUUUAAUGACUCAUUCGGCGCCUUACGGGAAACCAAAGUGUUUGGGUUC
rnacentral:rRNA from 1 species